rnacentral:rRNA from 1 species
CAGCGGCGCACGGGUGAGUAACACGUGGGUAAUCUGCCCUGGAGUGGGGAAUAACACCGGGAAACCGGUGCUAAUACCGCAUACGAUAACGAGGUCUGCGGACUUUGUUAUGAAAGGAGCAAUUCGCUCUAGGAGGAGCCCGCGGCUGAUUAGCUAGUUGGUGAGGUAAUGGCCCACCAAGGCUACGAUCAGUAUCCGGUCUGAGAGGACGGUCGGACACACUGGAACUGAGACACGGUCCAGACUCCUACGGGAGGCAGCAGUGGGGAAUUUUUGGCAAUGGGGGCAACCCUGACCAAGCAACGCCGCGUGGGUGAUGAAGUCUCUUGGGACGUAAAACCCUUUCGACGGGGAAGAAACCGCAAGGUUGACGGUACCCGUAGAAGAAGCCCCGGCUAACUCCGUGCCAGCAGCCGCGGUAAUACGGGGGGGGCAAGCGUUGUUCGGAAUUACUGGGCGUAAAGGGCGCGCAGGCGGUGCUCUAAGUCGGAUGUGAAAACUCUGGGCUCAACCCAGAGCCUGCAUCCGAAACUGGAGUGCUAGAGUUCUGGAGGGGGUAGCGGAAUUCCUGGUGUAGCGGUGAAAUGCGUAGAUAUCAGGAGGAACACCNGGUGGCGAAGGCGGCUACCUGGACAGAAACUGACGCUGAGGCGCGAAAGCUAGGGGAGCAAACAGGAUUAGAUACCCUGGUAGUCCUAGCCCUAAACG